AUUCCUCUGAUGAGUCCAAAAUAGAAUGAAACGCCCGUCCUGAAU
rnacentral:hammerhead_ribozyme from 1 species